GUGGUACUAUGGAUGCUCACUUGGCUCACAAAUAGCCUUGAGGUUGGGUCCAACUCAAGCUCAAUCCGCACACUGAACAAUGAGCAAUCCUUUCUUGGAUUUGGCUCAUUAUAAAUCCCCAUCCCAACCUCUCCACUAAAAGAAGGAAAAAGAAAAAGAAGAAAGAAAGAAAAGAAAAGAAAAGAAAAAAAAAGAACCACCACCCUAAUAGAUGAUGCAUCUGCUGAGACAUGCUUUUGAGUGAUCCUUCUUUGAGGUUCUCUAUUUUGAUGAUUUUUUUUCUACCAUUUUGUCCUACCUGAUUAGCAAAAUUACCCUCAUAAAACUUCCUUUGGAUUGAUUUCUUAAUUUGCUUGAUCUUUCUUUCUCUUUGUAUAAUAUAACAUUUUUAUUAGAGAGAUUGAGAGAAAAAAAGAAAAUUUUAAAUUUCCUUCUUUGAAUGCUACCGUUACUUUUUUACUGCAGCUCAGCAGUGAAAAUCAUGAUUCUGAAUUUAGUUUCAUGUUAGCCUUCUAGAAGAUCGCUAUUUUCAAUUACUGACAAUUUUGAUAUGGAUGUAUGUGUUGCAUGUGAUUCAUGUCAAAGGCUCACAUAAGAUCCAAGGAAUUGGUGCCGGUAUCAUCCCCCAAGUUUUGGAUACUGAACUACUUGAUGAAGUUAUUCAAGUAAGCCAUAUUAUCUUUUUUUCUCACACAUUUUCUUUUAACUGACAUGUGGCAUCGUCUGCUUGUUCUAUACUUAAAGUAGGUUAUGAAAACAACAUUCUAAUUGCAAAUGUAAACCUAGGAAAAAAGCUCGUGGAUGCUAGUUGUUCAUUAUCAUCGAAUCCUACUAUCAAUAUAUGUUAGGGCAUAUGCUGGUUUUUUUUUUCUACUUGCAUUUUCUUUUCAUGGUUGCUUGACAUUUGCGGUUUGAAAUGCAUAUGCGUACCACUUCUAUAAAGGAACAAAGUACCCACAUGCUCAUUCUAGUGAACAAUGGGCUUUUGAACGGUUUAAAGAAAGGUUGAACCUCUGUUGUGCUAGGAAGCUUGUGGUUAUGUCAUAAAUAGCAUCUGGGAAAGAGUGGGGGGGCUGGGAAAUGGAACCUAAAAUGUGAAACAAUACUGAACAUGGGAAAAAGUUGUAUGUUGAAUAGUAGGCUUAAAGAGAAACCUAAUGGGACUACGAGAGAGUGUGUGUAAAGGUAGCUAUGAAACAUUAAGAGGGCAUAUGGAGAACGUGAAAUAUAGAAGGGUUUUAUCCAUUGUAAAGGUAACUUUUACUUAUAUUUUUCGAUAGGAAACCACACAAGAAUAUAUUGAUAGAAAAGAAGUACAAAAGGAGGAUGAGGAAUCCUCCCUCCAAAAGAAAAACUAAACAACAUGAAAAAAUAACAAUACACUAGGCCGUCCCAUUGGAACUAUUUGAACUACACACUGAUAGCCAAUCAAGUUGUAAUACGUUAAGGGGGGUGCCCUUAAAACCCGCUGAACAAAACGCCCAAAAGGACUCAAGGAAAUGAAUGGAAUCCCAAAGAUUCCCUGAAUUCCUAGCCUUGUCCUCAAAUAUCCUAGCGUUUCUUUCCCGCCACACAACCCAGAUUAACGCUAUACUCGCGUUUUGCCAUAGAAUUACCCCUCUCUUGGACUUGCCAAAUCCUUUGUAAUUGAUGAACAUCAUGUCCGAAAUGCUUUUCGGAGGAACCCAAUCCAUCUUGGCUAGCUGAAAAAGUCUGUGCCACAACCCCAACGUCACUGAACAAUGGAGGAAGAGAUGAUCUGCUGAUUCUCCUUGUUCCAUACACAACUUACAUAUGUCAGGGCUAAUAGCUUUGUGGGGUCUCCUCAAUUGUAGCAAGUCAUUGGUAUUCACCUUCUUAUGUGCCACAAGCCAGAUAAAGGCCUUAACUUUGAAAGGGACUUGAGAUUUCCAAACAAACUUAGUGGGGAAAAAUGGAGAUGAAUCAGGCAUUUGGGACAGGGCUGUAAAGAAAGAUUUGACUGUGAACAAACCUGAAGAACAUAAGGACCAUGAUCUCGCGUCUGAAACGGAAGUGGAUAAGUUCAUACAAUCUAGAGAGUGCAUGAGGCGUUCUAGAUCUUCUAUCUCAAAAUCGGAUAGAUUACGACGGAAAUUAAAGUUCCAUGAGAAAGGGCGAGACGAACCAAGGAUUGAAGAAAUUGGAAUAUUUUUAUCCAUUACUACUCAAAAUAGUCUUGGAUAUUGGUCUUUUAAAGUUUGGUCCCCCCACCACAAAUCUUCCCAAAAGCGAAUUCUUUCCCCAUCUCCUACGAUAAACCGAGUAUACUUGGAAAAAUCCUGAAAGCCUUGUGCUAUGGCCUUCCAAGGACAGCGGUGUGACCAUCUGACUAUAGUAUUGGCAUCCCAACCAUUUGAGUGUAUCCCGUAUAUGCUAAGAAUGACUUGAUGCCAAAGAGAUGUACUCUCCCUAGGGAACCUCCACAACCAUUUCCCUAGAAGAGCACGAUUCCUUCAAGGAAUCUUCCCAAUCCCCAAACCCCCUAUAACCCUCGGCUUGCACACUGCUUCCCACCUAACAAGAUGAUCUCUUUUACCUUCCCCAACCCCUGACCAUAGAAAGUCCCUUUGUAUCCUCUCGAUUUUUGCAGCCACUGAAGCUGGAAUCUUAAACAAAGAAAGGAAGUAGCUAGGGAUAUGGAAAAGGCAAGAGUGUAGGAGAGUUAUCCUACCACCGAAAGAUAAGUAAGCCUUUUGCCAUCCGUCUAAUCUCCUAGAGAUUCUCUCAAUCACUGGAUCCCAGAAUCCACAAGCAGUUGGGUUCCCUCCCAAAGGAAGACCCAGAUAAAGAAUGGGCCAAUCUGAAGCCUUGCAGUCAAGCAGCAACGCUAACCUAGAAAGAUGAUUCUGAUCAAGGUUGAUGCCAAAAAGAUUACUCUUGUCAAGAUUGACCUUAAGCCCAGAGAUUUGACCAAACACUAACAAUAAACUCUUAAGAGUUUGCAAUUCUUCCUCUCUAGGGUUAGCAAAUAGGAUAGUAUCAUCUGCGAAUUGCAGAUGGGUCACCCUACAUCUAUUUCUACCUACCCUGAAGCCCUCUAGCAAAUUUCUUUCCUCAGCUUUCAACAACAUUCUACUCAACACAUCUGCAACGAUAUUGAAUAGGAAAGGGGAUAAAGGGUCACCUUGUCUUAAACCUCUAGCUGCCUUGACCCAUCCUUUAGCAUUAUCGUUCACUAGAAUAGCAUAAGAUACCGACGACAGACAACCUCUCAUCCAACUCCUCCAUUUAGAACUAAAACCCUUCUUCUCCAACACGUGAUCUAAGAAAUCCCAUUUCACAUGGUCAUAAGCCUUUUCAAAGUCUAUCUUGAACACAACUCCCUCCUCCCCUGAUCGCUUUUUCUCGUCCACAAUCUCAUUGGCUAUAAGAAUUGCGUCCAGAAUUUGUCUCCCUUGUACAAAAGCACCUUGAGUGGAGUGGAUGGUCUCUUGUAGGACUCCUCUUAGACGCCCUGACAAUACUUUUGCUAUUAUCUUAUAUAGACAAGUGAUCAGACUGAUAGGUCUAAAAUCCGAAAUCUUCUUUGACUGACUCUUUUUAGGCAAAAGGACUAUGAAGGAAGCAUUAGUGUUUUGAUUAAUAAUCCCACUAUUGUGAAACUCUGCAAACACCCUCACUAAGUCUUCCUUGAUCACAUCCCAACAGUCCUGAAAUACUGCUAUGGUGAAACCAUCAGGCCCCGGCGCCUUAUCCCUAUCUAACUGAAAGAUGACAUUAAAGAUCUCUACUUCGGCGAAAGGGGAAUCCAACCUAGAAGCACUCUCUUCUGAAAUAGGGGACCAAUCAAUACCUUCUACUCUCCAUGACUCACCAGGAGGACUCGAGUAAAGCUUCUUAACAUAUAGUAAUAUCUCCUCUGUGAUGCUCUCGGAACUGUCCAACACCAAACCUCUUUCAUUCUCCAAGAGUUUGAUGAAGUUCUUGUUACGUCUCCCAUUAGCCACUUUAUGAAACAACUUUGAGUUACAAUCCCCCUCCUUAACCCAUUUUAUCUUAGCUUUUUGUUUCCAAUGAAUUUCUUCCCUUAAAAUUAGCUCCUCUAACUCCCCUUUUCUUAUAACUCUUUGAGCUGCAAGAUCAGAAGAGAGAGCCCUUUCUUGUUCAAUGGCAUCAAUGUUAGCUAUUUCAUCCAAUAUGGUUUUUUUCCUUUCCUUAAGCAUUCCAAAAGUAUUCUUAUUCCAUUCUUUCAAUUUUGCCUUAACGAAUUGUAACUUCCUCAUGAACUUGUGACCUUCCCAACCAUUUCCUUCAAAUUCUCUCCACCAACUGCUAAAGCUCUCUUUGAAAUUAUGAUGUUGCAACCACAUAUUCUCAAACCUAAAAGGUGUUGGUCCCCACUUGAAUGGAUUAGUAUCCAAGACAAUCGGCCAGUGAUCUGAUGUCCAUCUAGGAAGAACUUCUUGAAGGCUUUGAGGGAAGGAAAGCUCCCACUCAUUUGAAUAGAGAAACCGAUCCAAUCUCUUACACACCGGUGACUCCUGCAUGUUUGACCAAGUAAAAGAGGCAUUCCUUAAUGGGGGAUCAUGUAAUUCGCUUUCUCUUAUAAAACCAUCAAAAUCCCUCAUGCUGGAAGUGACACCAGAUCCCCCCUGUUUUUCUGAACUUCUCCUUAUCACAUUGAAGUCACCUCCAACACACCAUGAGGGAUAAGUAAGACCAAAAAGGUCUAACAACUCCACCCAAAACUCCUUCCUAAUUGAGGAAUUGUUUGGACCAUAGACUGCAGACAACCACAAUGGUCCACUUCCAUCCAACAAGAACUUGACUGAGACGGAAAAGGAUCCUAUUACCACCUCCUCACCUCUCAUCUUUUUUGAGUCCCAAAUGAUCAAAAUCCCUCCUGAAGCCCCGCACGCCGGAAGAAUAGCCCACUCCUUAUUUCUAACCGACCAGACACUACCUACAAACCUUCUAUCACACACCUCUCUUUUUGUUUCCUGAAACAUCACUACAUUCGGAUUCUGAAGCCGCAGAAAAUCCUUAACCACCCUCCUCUUUGUCCUAGAUCCCAACCCCCUUAUAUUCCAACUUAUGAUCUUCAUAAAAACACCUCACUGCCCCUAUAACUCCAGACCAUCGCCACCAAAUCUCAAUUGCCUAUGGCAAUUCUGUUCUUUCGUCUUGAGUACACCUUAAUAUCCAAGGAACUCAAGACUUCACAAACUUUAGCCAUCUUACUAGGGGAAAGACCUUCUAUAUGGAAUCCACUCAUCUGGGAGAAAUCUGAGUCUCCCUUGCUUACUGCGCCCAGAAUAGGGACCCCGUGAGGCGAGUUGGAAUUGGUCAUAUCAUAGUUAAAGCUCUUAGACAUCAGAUUCAUUCCAGCCAUCUGGGACUCCACUUCAACAUGAUUAGGAUUGCCAACAUACCCAAGACGAUGAUCCCCAACGUCUUUUUUUUUUAAGCAAUUUUCAGUUAACACUCGGUUUUUCAUAGGAAACUGGGAAUGAAAGGCUGAAAUGGAGAGAUCGGGAUCAAAAGGACUCUGGUAUGGAGGAGCCACACCAGAGAAGGGAUACCGUAAAGGCAGAGAAGGCUGAGAAGAAUGAUGAGCAGAUACCUGGAAAAUUCCCACUUUCGUCAAUCCACAGUCCCCCCCAAAGAUAAGCCCUUUUUCACUGUUCUCGUGAUAAGAAGGAUGAUCCGCGACUGAAGAUCCACUAUGAGAAUAACCCACAAAGCCCUUAACACCUUCUCCGUCUUCUCUUAUAGCAUUAUUACGCAUUUUCUCCUUCUCUUUUGACAUAAAAGGAACCCUAGGAGUAUUCCUUUGUUCCUCGAUUUCCUCCGUCGGCGUCGUUCCUUCCUCGGAUCCCCCUUGAAACACAAGAGAUCCCACUUCGGCGACUUCUUCCACUGAAAGAGAAUCGCUACUUGUCGGCGAUCCUUCAGCCGUAACUGGCGCUUCUCGGCUUCGAUUUCCUUGUCGGCUUUCAGAGCUUGACGGAAGUAGGACAUUCCACAGCUUCUUUGAACCACGCAUCACCGUGGGGUCCCUCCGUUGAAGUUCAGAGUCCUCGUAACCUACCUUCUCCUUCCCCUUUGCAACGUGAGAAGCACUGUGUGACGGGCCCAUCCACGAACUGUUUUGCUUACCGCCCGACUCUUGGCCCAUCUGCUGGAUCGAGCCUCUCCCAGGGGCUUCCCUCUUCCAGCCCACAUCAUUUUCUGACAUAGGCCUGGGCUUACUAAAAGAUUGGGCCCCUGACGAAUGUUUGGAGGCCCAGAUCUCAUCCACGAGAUUUGACUGGGCUUUGACCUUACCAGCCUGCUUUGGCCCAUCACCACCUGCCUUCAGUCUUUUAAAUUUUGAAUUGAAAAACGUUGGAGGCCAGUUGUUUCCCUCUUCUGUCCACUUCGUUCCACGUGUCCUCCCGGGAUCAUUUCCAGCCUUUUGACCACCUCUCCACUCCAUCAAUCUGUCAGCUGCCCCAGCCGAGGACACCUUUCCAGCCGUUGAUCGAUCUUCAACUUCCCUCUUUCUGCCAGCUAUCCCCGAGUGAGCCUCAGCCAAAUGCCGAGUUAACUCGCCCAUUUUUCUAGCCUGCAUGCCAUCUUCUUUCCCUACCACUGUAACUGAGACUGUGAAGUCCCAACCCCCAUCUACCACCUCAAUCAAAGCGGGAAGCACCGAUCUUUCUUUCAUAACAACUCUCACCCUAGAUUUGCUUAGAUAAAAAAUUUUCAGUGUACGCCAAUCUAUCUCUGUCACCGUCCCCCAUUGCUCCAUGAUUUUCUUCAAGUGAACCUCAGACCAUAAAUGGAAUGGUAAGCCCCUUAACUCAAUCCAACCUUCCUUGAAUUUCCCCUCUAUUUCUGAGUUUUCCUUUGGCGACCAUCUUCUCAACAAGACUGUAUUUCCUCCUUUAAUCCUGAUGAACCUUGACUCGUGUAGUGAUACAACCUCCUCUAAGGUUUCUACAAAAAACAAUCUUUUUCCUCCGGCGAAUGGAACCACUGUCACCACGCCUUUGUGCCCUAACCUUCUCGCCAUAGCCCGACCAACCUCAUCCCAGUUAACAAAAUCAUCGUGACAUUCGCACACCACGACCCUCGCCCAUCUCCCUACAGAAACAAGGCCGCCUCUCCUCGGUCUUUCUUCUUUGACUACAUUCGCGAAGGACCGUUGCAAGGGACCCGCGAGUUUGUGCAAAUUCCUUCCUUUCCUGCUCUGCCUACCUUUUUCGUCAAAACCCGAGGAGGGGACCACCAGCAUUGAAUACAACGCUUCCUUCAAAAGUUCCCAUCCCCUGCCAUUGUCCCCCUCAGGUAUUACCAGAAAGGUUGACUUCCUUCUGGAUGCGAAUUCUGAUAAUUUUAUAUACUUGCCAUGUUCGUUGAAGCCAACCUCCAAUAGAUGAACUCUGUUCUUUCCUCUAAAUUUUCUGUUGAAACCCAUAAAAAUCUUCAUCUCAAUGGCCUUUGUCAAUUGUUCUAUCAACCAGCUAAUCUCUUCCUUCUCAAAACCUAAGACGAAGACAGAGCCUUUACCGUGCUCUGUUAUUGAACACCAUCUUCCUCCGAUUUCUCCCUUGAAACUUACCCAGAAUGUCUUCCUCUCCACUGAGACCUUCAAGGUCCUUCCCAUACUUGUGCAAAAACCCAAGAGUAUUGAAACCAGGCCUAGGGGGGGAAGUAGAGUAGCUGGGUUGGGUUGGUUUGGAUCAAAGAUUGAUCCCUCUCUCUUCUUAGCAGUGCCAAUCUUUUUCCUUGAAGCUAGGUCCUUGGAACUCAGUGAUCGACCUAGACGCAGCGUUUGGAGAAGGAACGAUACAGUGCACUGGUGUAAACAGAGAUCAAGACACCAGUAAAAAAAAAAAAGUGCCGAGGCGGAAUGUGGUAACUUUUACUUAUAUGCUACAUGGUGGAUGAGCUUGUGAUCAUCAUGGAGAGUAACCUGAAAUGGAGUGAAGGAACUUCAUCCUUUCCUUAUGUCUUCCUGUGUGGUAAACACAUAGACAGAAGUGCAUCCUCUAGUUAUGGCUUCCUGUAAACUAGGUCCAAAAUAUCGGGCUUGGCUAUAUGGAUACACAGGAGAUAGUAUAAUACUAAACAAUGUUAAGCAGGAUUCUUCCACUUGCAGGGCAUCUUAUAAACAGAAGUUCAAAUUUGAGUUACGAUACCAUACCAAAAGUAUACAAUGAAUUUUUUUGUGCUUGUUUAAGGACAUGCAGAUGAGACGGUUAUUUCAGUAUGCUGAUUUGCAUCCCCGCUUAGGUAGUUUACAUGAUUGAAGUGGUCAAACAGGUGUGCAUGGAUGCCUGCUAUUAACUGCUGAUUUUUGUGAAACUUUUCAGAUUUCAAGUGAUGAGGCCAUUGAAACUGCUGGGCUUCUUGCAUUAAAAGAAGGUUUGCUGGUAUGUUGACAAUAGCAUACGGUCUCUUUGAUGGUACAGUGUGUUGCUUUAACUCCUGAGAACUUCCCUUCUUUUACAUAAUUUUGGGAUUCUUUUUGGCAGGUAGGGAUAUCAUCUGGUGCUGCUGCAGCUGCAGCAAUUAAGCUAGCUGAGAGUCCAGAAAAUGCAGGCAAACUCAUCACGGUGUGUAGUGGGCUUUACCAUUUAGACCGAUAUCAAUAUAGGAUUUGAUUUAUUUUACCCCAAUCUCCAGAUCAGAAUCGUUCACUGUUGAUUCAAAACCAGCCUGAAGUAGGCCCAUGCAUAUUGGUGUUUCUUCUGUUUUUGUCAUUGCUCCGUCAUAACUCAAAUCAUCCAAAUAUUCAUGAUUGUCUUUCCAAUCCGAUUCCAUUAACCCUUUGUCAUCUACUUUUGUUACCGUGCAGGUGAUUUUCCCCAGCUUCGGAGAGCGCUAUCUGUCUUCAGUACUGUUUGAUUCCAUAAGGGAUGAGGCUGAAAACAUGAAGUUUGAUUGAGUUAUUACUUGAUCUGGGAAGAGCCUUGCUAGUUUCAUUAGCCUUUUCCUUCACUUAUCAUUUGGCUGGAAUUACACUAGAAACCUAUUGAUCUCUGCAUUCCACUGUGGACUAGUCGAACGAAUGAUGAAUUAAUUUACUCAUAGCGAUGAAGUUUGAAUUUGAUAGCCCUUAUCUUUCCAGAUGCUUCAAUACACCAGGGGACUAAAUACAUCAGAUCAACAAGUUCUUUCUUAUAUAAAAAAAAAGGUAUAAUUUGGGCAAUACAAAGCUAAUGAAUGAAGAAAGGUGGGUUUAGAGGCAGAUGGUAUCAGGUGAAGAGCCGUGGUCAUGACCAUCAUGGUGAGGCAAACUGGGAAGAAUGUGAAUUCAAGUUCUCAACAAGGCCCUUCAAUGUCCCUCUUCCCACCUGAAAAUCUGAGGAUAAAAUAAACAAGUUUCUAAUUGACAUGUUGUAUUCCAGAAAAUCAAUUUGUAUUACAUUAACUCUUAAACCACUCAAAAAGUGGCAAUGAGGGAGUAGUGAAUGCUUGUCUCCUCAUUGCAAAACACGCGCGCACACACACACGUACAUAUAUGUGUAUAUAUAUUUCUAUAAUGUACACACUAGUUUACAAUAAAAUGUUCAUCUAUGAAGGAAGUGAAAAAAUUCCUUACCUAAAACCUUCCUGUGAAUUCAGACCCAAAAAAGACAACAAGAAAAAAGCUCAUAUGAACAAAUAAAUGUUGGCAAACGUGAGCAUGGCCUUGGCCUUGGUCUUUUGGAACAGCAUCCUUCCAUGCAUCAGCUGGUCACGCCAAUUUUUUGGAGUGACAAUUCUGUGGCAAUGAGUCUAAGCAGUACUUGCACUAGUUCUCUUACUCUAGCUUCCCUGCUCAUGGAAAAUAAACAUCUAUAUGAAUAAACUAGUUCAGGCAGCAUGAUAUGUCUUCAUUUUUUCUUGUUCACCAUUUGCAAACACGAAAACAUAUCCGUCAUCCAUUAUUAUUAUUUAUCACUUAACAGAGCCUUAUCACAGACAUCAGUGUUGCCAUAUGACUCGAUUCGCUCCAUGUUUGCUAGAAGUAUUAUGUUGCCUCUUAUUGGAUCUCUUAUUGGCCUUUGUUGCCCUAUCUCACCAACUUUCCCUCCCUCAGUGCCACCACAAACUUUUUACUCGUUCAUUUGUUUUUAAUUUGAUUCUUUUCUUCUCAUGUCGCUCAUCUAUCUCAGUAUUCUUAUUUUGACACUUUCUCUAAAUGCCAAGGCAUUUCCUAAUUCAAUUUCCUUAUAAUUUGACAGGUACUCAUCAAGUACAAAGAAUCUGGGGGGAUGACUCGAUUCCAUCCCUGAUUCCCUGCCAUUCUAAUUCAAGGAGCAACACAACUUCAAUCUCCACCUCCUUGUGGAUGACCAAUUGAAGAUACAGUGUGUUGCUGCACCAUAUUGCAUGUCUUCAAUCUGAUGAAACAACAUUGCAUGUUUUCAAGAUUCAUGAACAUAAGGUGUAAGCCAUAUGACUUCAUAAUUUAUGUUUGCCAUCUACCCCUACAACCUUUUUUCCUGGCUUGGGGUUGGUUGCUUGGAAGGUUUGACACUGGACAUGACAGUGGCAGAUUGAAAAUCAGAACAUGUGGUGACUGUUGUAAGGGUUUUCUGUAGUCACAGCAACCCUCCAUUAUGAGCCAUUGUAAAUUUAUAAUAUUAUGUAAACAAUGUAACCUUAAGUUGUCUAAUAAUGAUUAAAUUUUCCUUAAAAAUACUCUCUGACCUUGAGAUAACUAGCUCACAAAAGGAUGCAAAAAGAACAAGUAGAUGGGGACGCCUGUCAUGAUUCUCCUCUGCUAGGCCUCCCUUUAAGUAUGGAUGUAGAGGAAGAACAGAUGCUGUUUCUGGAUGAAUUACCAGACGGGCCAGCUCUUUAAGUACAAAAAUAAUUUCUUCUAGCCUUGCUGUUGGCAGUGGACGUUCACCUGCAGGAGCAGUGAUGUUUCAGAAUGAAAAAACCUGGGAGGCAAAAAGAACUCAAGGAGCAGUAAAGGUGUAUGAUAACUAGAAUACAAAAAGCUAUACAAGCAAUGCACCUAAUUCAUUCUCAUCAAUCAGAAUUCAAAAUUUGUUCACAUCUGGUCAUGAGCACCAUGAUUGAGAUUUUGCUAACUUCAGAUCUUGUUGAGUUCCAAUCGUUGGCUUCACCAUUGUAACUGAAAAUUAAUUAUAAAUGUGUCAACAGACAAUGGGUUUGAAAUAUAGAACCUCCAGAAUAAAGGUCUAGAGAAAUUGGAUGGUGUUCCCUUCAAAACCAAAUAGGGCUGUGAUUCAAUUACAGAGUGUGCAUUACAGGAGAUGUUCAAAUGGUCUGGCAUGUAGUAUAAACAUAAAAUAAUAGUUGAUGGGACUACACAAUAGCUCAAGACAUGUAAAUAAUUUUCAAGAUAAUUUAAUUGCCACAUUAGAAACACUUCAUUAACCCAUUUUGACAAAAGGAAGUGGUAUUGGCUUGCAGGUCCAUAAAGCAGCAGACAGAUAUUCAAAGAAAGCUGACAGGAAUAUCAUAUAUUAGCCAUGUUCUACAGUACCAUCUGAGAGACGUUACAUUUACCCUAUCUCAUAGGGAACAAAUUGAUCAAGUGCUUUUAACAUUGACAGCCAUCUACUGAAGCAAUAUAACAAACCCAUUAUUUAAAUAUUUAAAUGCAACUUUAGAAUGAUGGGAUUCAUGUCAUGCAAUGAGAUAUUACCUGCUUAAGGAAAAUAGCUUCUGCAAGCAAGUUAAUGAGAAUCUGCUACAGUGAGAAGGCAGAAGUUCUGAAGGAGUUAGAAUUUGCAAUGGUCAGAAUCGCUGAGUUUAGGACUCAGGCAGAGCAGGCAGUAAGCAUGGCUGAGAUGGCUGAGAAAACUAAAGCAGCACUUGAGGAACAACUAAGGCAGUGGCAAAAGCAGAGGCAAAGAAGAAGAGCUGCUUUAGCAGCACUCUGUAAAGAGUCUGUCCGUAAGGAGAACAAUAUUCUUAAAUUUGAGCAGACUCCUGCAACAUAUCAGCCAUUGAGUAAGGUUCUCAACAUAAUUGUAGUCUACCUGGAGAAUUUCAGAUAUUUUGUCCUAUUUAAGUAAUUGUGUAUGGCAUAAACUUCUUCAAGGACUUCCAACUUAUUUCUCUUUUAGCUGAUUUGGUCCAAGGCCUAUUUAAUAGGUAAUUAUAUAUUCCUCUCAUGUGAUUUACAGCAUUUUAAUAAGGUGGAAGGAACAAGUGAUCCCUUCUCUUGCUACCAGUUGAUCUCCAGACUUACCCUCCUCGUUCCAUCAACUAAUCUUAUUCUCGUAUCUUGUUCGUGAGAUUGAGAAAAAUAAAUAUCGUUAUGGAUUCUUCUAAUUUCUAUGUAUAUUAAACUGAUACAGUAUCAUAUAUUUUCUUACUUUAUACACAAGUGACCAAAGAAAAAAACAAAAGUAAGAUAAAAAAUCUAGGCAUAUAGACCUUGGUGUGCUUCUCAUGAGGGUUACUAAUUCACCUAGAACUUGUCAAAUUCCAUAUAUGUUCAUGUAGCAAAAUAUUUAAGAUUUACAUUAAUGUAUCCUUAUUAUAGUAUUUGAAUAUGAGAACAAUGGAAAACAUGCAAAAUACAAUUUUAGGCAAUUGGGCCACACAAAAUUAAUCGUUUAAAGUUGGAUGAGCACCACAUGGUGAGAUUGUUGUAGCCACACUUUUAGGUGUAGCUUGUUAGUGCCGGAGUUGGGUAAGUUACCAUAUAUUUUUCCAGAAAGGAAAUGUGAAGUGAAGUGGAGUAAAAUCAUGUGAGAAGUUGCCAAGUAUAUAAUGCUGCCAAUGCAGUUGAUUAGGUAAGUGCAUGAAGGCCUAGGACAAUGGGCAAUAGCACAUGCACGUCUAGAUCAGCAUUUUUUUUUCCUCGAGUUUGAACUCAUCUUCCAUAUAAGAGUUUGAUCAAUAGAACGUAGGGAGGUUGGGUAUGUUUCUUUUCUUUAUUGUAAUCGUAACAAAACAUAAGAAUUUUGACAGGAUUGAUUGAAUAUUGAGUGCAGUUUGAAGCAAUUGAAGUUUGGUUGAUGCUGGUAAUUGAAUUUGAGAACUAUCCACGUUAAAUAUGAUGACUGUCUGGUUUUCAGUCACUUGUUUCCAACAUUAUAGUUUAGCAUGAAACAUAGGAGUCAAAGUCCCAAAUGAUCGAGUUUUUAAAUGUUGCAUCUUGUAAAACCUUUUCUGAAAUACGUCAUGGUUUGUGCUUAGAAAUAUGCAGACAUUGUAAUAUUUCGUUUCCUUUAAUUGGUUCAAGCUAGGAUCAUAGAAAUAGAAGAUUUAGAGGGUAUUGGGUAAAUCCACUAAUUUAAUUUAAGUCAUUAAACAUAUUAAAUGUGAUAAAAUAAUAUAAGCAUUCUUAGACCAAAACAUUAGGCCAGCCACUCCUCUAUGUUUUUUUUUUUUUUUUUGAUCAGAAACGAAGAAGAUUAUAUUAAUAAAAGAACAAAUACAGGAGAGAAAAAAGAGACAAAAGAAAGAGAAAAAAACCAAGGGAAGGAUGAGAGGUCCUUCCUACACAAGAACCAAGGAAAAACACCUAACAAAAGAACUCUAAAAACAAAAGAAACCCCAACAAUCUUCAAACACUUGAAACGCAAACCCCAAUCCAAUUGAGUUGUAGAAUGCUUAGAGGAACUCCUCUAAAAGCUUCAGUACAAGAAGCCCAUAGAGAAGAAUAAAACCGGAUCAAAUCCCAAACCAUCUCUUCCGUUCUCCUUUUAUCCUCAAAGAUUCUAUUAUUCCUUUCUUGCCACACCAUCCAAAUCAAAGUAAGGCAAGCAAUUUGCCAAAGUGUCUUGCCUCUUAAUGAGUUCCCCAAGCCUUUAAAAGAAAUAACCAACAUGUCCUCAAUGCUCCUUGGAGGGACCCAAAUCACACCUACUAGAUUGAACAACCUGUGCCAAAGUCCAAUGGUAACGGGACAAUGAAGAAAAAGGUGGUCAAUCGACUCUCCAUUUCCUUUGCAAAGAAUGCACCAUUGAGGACAGAGGGCUUUGUAGGGUCUUCUCAAUUGCAACUUGUCAUUAGUGUUUACCUUACCAUGUGCUACUAACCAAGCGAGGGCCUUAACCUUUGAAGGGACUUUUGAGCUCCAUAAAAACUUGGCCGGAAGGAACAUUAAAGGAUUUGAAACUUUUGACAAGGCAUAGAAAAAAGAUUUCACUGAAAACGAGCCUGACGAAGACAAAGACCACGCUCUUGAGUCUGAUGAAGAAGGGGAAAGAAGCACAGAAUGAAGGGAGGACAUUAAUCUCUGAAGGAGAUCAAUUUCUGAAUUCGUUAGAUUGCGACGAAAGUUAAAAUUCCAAGACAAUGGUAAGGAAUUGCCAAGGACAUUUGAGACAGUAAGGUUUUUCACAAAAAUAACUCUGUAGAGAUCAGAAAAUUGAGAACACAAAGUUUGGUUUCCCCACCAAAGAUCUUCCCAAAACCGAAUUCUCUCCCCAUUGCCCACCACUAGGCGGACAAAAGGGGAGAACUCUUGGAAAACUUGAGCAAUAGCCUUCCAAGGACAUCUGUGAGACCAUCUAACCACCAUGUUGGCGUCCCAUCCAUUAGGAUGUGUCCCAUAUAUACUCGCAAUAACCUUAUGCCAAAGACCGCUCCUUUCUCUAGGGAACCUCCAAAGCCAUUUCCCUAAGAGGGCACUAUUUCUCAUAGAAGUCUUCCCAAAGCCCAAACCUCCCAUAUCCCUUGGUCUACUAACAACCUCCCAUCUGAUUAGGUGAUCUCUCUUCCCUUCCCCGACCCUAGACCAAAGAAAAUCCCUUUGCAUCUUCUCAAUCUUUGAAGCUAUAGAUACAGGGAUUUUGAAGAGGGAGAGGAAGUAGCUAGGGAUGUGAGACAGACAAAACUGAAUUAAAGUAAUCCUCCCUCCUAAAGACAAAUAGGCCUUUUUCCAUCCAUCCAGCCUCCUCGAAAUUCUCUCAACCACUGGAUCCCAAAAUCCUAUUGUCUUUGGGUUCCCUCUCAAAGGAAGGCCUAAAUAGGACAAAGGCCACUCUGACACUCUGCACUCCAAAACCAAAGCCAAACUAGACAACACCUCCUGCCUAGUGUUAAUAUUUGAAAUGGUGCUUUUUUCUAAGUUGAUUUUUAAACCAGAUACUUGCCCAAAAACCAAAAGGAUAAUCUUAAGGUUUUGAAGAAGGUCCAAAGAGGCUUUAGAGAAAAAUAUGGUAUCAUCAGCAAACUGUAACAAGGACACUCUAGUCCUAUCCCUCCCCACAAGGAAACCCUCAGUUAUCCCAGUUUCCUCAGCUCUAAUCAUCAACCUACUUAGAACAUCUGCUACUAGAGUAAAAAGGAAAGGAGAAAGAGGAUCUCCCUGUCUCAAACCUCUAGAGGCCUUAACCCAACCCUUUGCAUUCCCAUUAACUAGGAUAGCAAAACUAGAAGAAGAUAAACAGCCCCUCAUCCAAGAUCUCCAUUUCUGGCUGAACCCCUUCCUUUGAAGCACAUGAUCUAAAAAGCCCCAAUCCACAUGAUCAUAGGCCUUCUCAAAAUCAAUUUUGAAGACUACCCCUUCCUCUCCUGACCUUCUUUUCUCAUCCACCACUUCAUUGGCUAUCAAUACAGCAUCCAAUAUUUGUCUCCCUUCCAUAAAGGCUCCUUGAGAGCCAAAGAUUGUUUCAUGUAGAACUUUGCGUAAACGCCCUGAUAAGACCUUAGCAAUUAUCUUAUAUAAACUUGUAACCAAACUAAUAGGUCUAUAAUCUGAGAUUUUAAAAGUUUGGCUUUUCUUAGGCACCAUAGCAAUGAAUGUCGCAUUUGUACUUUGAUUUAUUACCCCUUUAGUGUGGAACUCAAAAAACACCCUCAUAAGAUCCUCUUUUAUCACAUCCCAACACUCUUGAUAAACUGCUAUAGUAAAGCCAUCAGGGCCAGGGGCCUUUUCCUUAUUCAAUUGGAAAACUGCCAUUCGAACCUCCUCUUCCGAAAACGGUCUAUCCAACCAAAUUGCACUCUCUUCAGAAAUAGGGGCCCAAUCAAUCCCUUCAAUCUUCCAAGAAUCACCUUCGGGUUUGGAAUAGAGAUUCCCAAAGAAAUUUACAAUCUCCUCAGAAAUAACCUCAAUGUUAUUUAAAGUCUCCCCUCUCUCAGAAAUCAGAGACUUUUUGAACUUCCUGCUUCUUCUUCCAGUGGCCACUCUGUGAAAAAACUUAGAGUUGCAAUCCCUUUUUUUAAUCCACUUAACCCUAGAUUUUUGUCUCCAUUGUACCUCUUCCUUCAAUAACAAAUCCUCUAACUCCUUCCUUCUUAAGGUCCUUUCCGAAACCAGAUCUAGAUUUAAAUUCCCUUCUUGUUCAAUUCGAUCAAUUCUGCCUAAGUCCGUAAGAAUAUGCUUUUUCCUCUCUCUUAAAUCUCCAAAGACCAUUGUAUUCCACUCUUUCAACUUUGAUUUAAUAAACUUUAGUUUCCUCAUAAACUUGUGACCUUCCCAACCUUCAACCGUACACUCUUGCCACCAAUCUCUAAACUUCUCUUUAAACUCAGGAUGGAGCAAUCACAUAUUCUCAAACCUAAAAGGAGUCGGCCCCCAUAUAAAAGGAUUAGUUUCCAAACAAAUUGGGCUAUGGUCAAAGGUCCAUCUAGGAAGGGCCUCUUGAAUAUUUUGAGAGAAAAGAAUCCUACUCAGAAGAGAACAAAAACCUAUCUAACCUCUUGCAAAUAGGAUCGACUUGCAUGUUUGACCAUGUAAAAGCCGCAUUCCUAAGAGGGGGAUCCAACAAACCACUUUCCCUUAUAAACUCGUCAAAACACCUCAUGUUGACUGUUAACCUAGAGUCACCCAUCUUCUCAGAUAUCCUCCUGAUCACAUUAAAAUCCCCUCCUAUACACCACCUUGGGAAAGUCAGACCAUGUAGGUCUUGAAGCUCCAUCCAAAAGUCCUUCCUCCACACUGCCUUAUUCGGGCCAUACACUGAGGUUAACCAAAAAAACCCUUCCUCAUCAGAGUUCAAUCUUACAGUAACAGAGAAGGAUCCUAACACCUUCUCUGAACAAUUGAACUUAACUGAAUCCCACAGGAUCACAAUCCCCCCCGACGCCCCACAAGCAGGAAGAGCAACCCAAUCUAGACUUUUACCUUUCCAAACACUACUCACUGGCCUCCUAUCCCAAAUUUCACGCUUUGUUUCCUGAAGCAUCACCACAUCUGGGUUUUGAGUGCUUAAAAACCUUCUCACAGUCCUCCUUUUCUUCCUAGAUCCUAAACCUCUUGUAUUCCAACUUAAAAUCUUCAUGAGAACAAAAACAACCCGACGCAACCCACACCCAGAACUAAUCCUCUCCUCGAGUUCCAGAGUCAUUUUUCUUCUUUCUUCUGGAAUAAACCUUGUCCGCAGAGAGAGCACUCCUGUUCUCUCCUUCCACACCUUUCCCAUUAUCCCUGACAAUUCUAACCCUCAAACUCUCCAGAACCAACUGAACCUUGACCAUCUUCCGAGGCGUAAGCCCCUCAACCUGAAAACCUUCCAACGAGAGAGUGGAAGGUUCUUGCAUUGGGAACGAAGCCUCACCUGAGACACCACGCACCUCAAGGUUGCUGAGAGUUUCCCUAAGGAGAGGUCGGUCUUUAAAUUUUUGGUUAGAGGUUUCUAGGGGAACCACCACACUUUCCGAACAGGAUGCACCACCACGAUGGUUGUCAUUCACCACAGGAGAGAUAAAAACAGACCCACGCUGAAAAGCGUAGCUUGACUCCAACGGAAUCGAAGAAGAAGAGUGACAGCGAAAAGGGUGAACCAAAGAAACAGAGGUUUCGGGAAUAAGAUUUGGCUCAAAAGCCCCAGACAGAGGAAGAUCUCGCUCAGAUACAGCUGAGAAAGGAGUACGCACCUCAUUGAUCAAUUUGCAUUGCAGAAUCCCCUCUUUUCCCUCUGUCUCGCCGGUAGAAACUUUGGAUGUUUCCAAACCAGUGGAGAGAUCGCUCUUUCUGGAGUGAGAUUUACCCCGAGAAGUGUCUCGAUUUGUCUCCAGUGAGCCACCUCCUUCAAAGCUUCGCUUCGGGGAAGAAGACGCCUUCUCAAAUCUCGGCGGCCCACUUCUUGCUCUGCGCCUUACGGAGACUGGAGAUCCCUUCGGCUUUGACGACACUUGAAGAAGACCUUCCGACAUUUUAUUCUUUGCAGUGAGCCCUGGUCUUUGGAGCUUUGAAGACGAAGAUACAGCUGGGCCGCCAUUAGAGGAUCCUUUAUGGGCUGGACCCGCUAUUGGCCCAAAAUCCUUCGCCCCAAAUUGGGCCCAAUCAUAACGGGCUUCAAAGACGUCUGGUGUUGGCCCGAAAUUGCUUCCCGCCGUUGGGCCCAACACCCACCUUCCCUUUCCUUUCUCCCCCUUAGCCGAUUUUGAAUCUGAAGAACUAAAAUGGAAACGAUGACGAGGCAUCCAGCUAUGGUAGUCAAUGGUCCUGUCAAUAGCUCGUAGCCCCUCAACGAUCUGUGGCUUCUGCAAGACGCAACUCCCGGCUGACCUCAGCUCGUCCUUGCUGCGAUUCGACUCAGGCCUGAUAGAGUCUCCUCCGUCAUCUUCUCCGCCAUCUUCUCCGGUGACUGUAACUGCAACCAUGUAUGUCCAAUCUCCAUCUUCUACCUUUAAUAGCGCUGGAAGCACGGCAUUUGGAAGCAUCUCCACCCGCAAUGUUACUUUCGUCAAAUCAACAAACUUCAAGGAUUUUCUCGCCACCUUCGUUACCCUCCCCCACUGCUGCAAAAUGUGUCUCAACUGCACCUCAUCCCACAGGUGGAAAGGGAGACCUCUUAGUUCCAGCCACCCCCGUCUAAAUUUUCCAUUAACGAUUGAGUUCUCUUUUGGCGACCAUCUCCUCAGACCAAAAACCUCUCCUCUCAUUGUGAAACUACCUCGAUCUUGAAUCCACUGAGCUUUCCUUGCAGUUUCCACAAAAAAACACCCUUUGUAAGCAGAAAUGGGUGUUACAGACACCAUUCCUUUCAUCCCCACCCUUCUCGCUAUAGCUUUUCCAACCUCACACCAGUCUCGUAUUUUUCCUUUGCCUUCACAAACCACAGCUCUUGCCCAUUUUUCAACUGGCAUCUCUGCACCAUUCCUAGUUCCUUUCUUUGCAACCACAUCAGCAUAGGUCCUCUCACCUCUGUACAUUCCUUUGCUCUCUUGAGGCUUUUUUUGCUUCUCAUUCGAAUCUCUUUCAGCUUGAACAGAGAUCUCUUGGACUGAAACAAUCACCUUCCUAAGGUUUUCCCACCCAUAGCCAUUAACACCUCUUGGAACAACUAAGACCAAAGGUUUUCUCUUUGCAACGUAUUCUGUGAUUUUCAUAUAUCUCCCUCUGCUAUUAAAACAUAUCUCCAUCAGAUGAGUCCUAGUCUUGCCCCUCAUUUUUCGAAUGAAACCCCUGGAAGCCUCCAACUCCAUAGCUUUCUCUAACUGCUCCACUAGCCAACCCGUCUCCUCCUCUCCAAAACCUAAAGAAACCACAAAACCUCGACUUCUCUCUGUUAUUGAAAUCCACGUUCCUCCAUUGUAAUCUUCAGACUUCACCUGGAAAACCUUUCUCUCCACUACAACCGACUGAUUUCGAAUCAUCUUUUUAAUAGGAGAAGCAGAUCAAUUUCACUUCGCAUACCAUUUCCAGACAUUAGUAAGGAUACCUUCUCAGUAGUAACAUCAUUUGAAGGUGCAGCAAAACCUACAGCCACUCCUCUAUGUUAGCCAACAAGUUUGUUAGACCAAUAAGUUAGGUCACCCAUGGCCACCCACAUUGCAGGGAUAAUGUUUUAUUGGAAUUUGGGGAAGAAUUUUGAGUCAAAUUAGCCAUUUAAUCCAACAUAAUAUAGGUAUUAGUAUUUUGAAGAAUAAUUUAUCCAGAAUAAAUUAACCUAUGUUCAAAUAAAUUAAAGGGCUUAUCCAGAAUAAUUUCUAAUUUGCUAUUAACAAUGGAAAAAAAAACUAACAUCUAUGUAUUAAAAAUUAAGGAUUAAUUUAAUUUUUUUAAAAAACAAAAUAAUUCUGGAAAAGUUUAAGUCUAUGUUAAAGAAUUUCAUCUAAAUAUUCUUAAGCUAAUUUUUGAAUGUUACCGAAAAAUGCAUCCUCAUCUCCAACAUGCCAUUGGUUAACCCUUUGAGAAGAAGAAACCCUAAGCAAAGCCUUGAAAGCAAACAGCUUUACCACCAGCCUCAGAAUUUUCACGCCUGCAAACAAUAUUUGAAUUUAAUAAACGUGAGUUUAGGAAUAAAAUAGUUCCCACAAGCUUCUAGACAAGUUGCAAGUGACCCAUAUUAUAAAUCCAAUCCAACAAGAACAUGCAAAGAAGGAGGAGACUGAUUUAACAUAAAGAUCCCAACAAAAUCAUUAUGGCACUCAGGUUUACUUUCUCUGUCGUCCCCUAUGUGUUUCACUUUUGAGUUUUCAGGUACCCUGGUUGGUAUGGUCAUGUUAGUUUAGAGUUCCAUCUGCUAUAACAGUAGGGAGAUUGAGGAGGACCAUAGCUGAACACAAAACCUUCUUCUGUAAGUCUUAAGUUUAAUUUUGAUGGUUGCUCUUAAGAAACCCAGGACAAGUGGGCAUGGGUGAAGUUUCCUGAGAUCAUAGAGGAGAGGUGGAUAGGGCUUUCUCAAAUGUAUUGGGGUGUGGUUGGCUAAUGAAGCAGAGUUGCUAAAUUUCUUAGAAGUCUGAAAUUUGCUUCUCUAGGUUCUACAAUUUAGUGCAAGGUGAUUCAACCAUAGCUAUCCCUUGGGUUUCUCAGAAAAAGCAAGAUCCUUAGGAAUGCUACACCUAGUAGCACAAAUUUUCAAUUUAUCUACAAAAUAGUGCUAUCCAUUUAAAUGAAUCCCUUGCCUAGACAACUAAACUGUAAACAGGUUAACUAAUCAAGGUGCUUCCUUGUGAGAUGCCUUUGUUGGGGAGUUUCCCUAAACUUUGUACUUUGAUUUGGUGUUGAACUUUAGUUAUUUUUAAUAUUUUGGUUUCACUCUUGAGGUUUGCAGUUCAGCUGUAUUUUGUUGAUUCAAUUAAAUUAGAUACUCAUACAUUUUAUUUCUUGGAGGAGAACUCAGGUUUGCAGUUCAACUGUAUUUUGUUGAUUCAAUUAAAUUAGAUACUCAUACAUUUUCUUUCUUGGAGGAGAACUCAUCCUUUCAUGUUCUCUUUUGAUCAUUAAUCAACAAAUUCUUUUGCUUGCAAUUGAGAAGACAACAAGUGUUAUGAGUUGUCAUUGCCCUUCAAAUGUAGUUAUUUUCUGAUAGGCAAAUAAUAUGAUUUUAUAAACAAUUGCCAAAGUGAUGGCACACCAUAGUACAUAGGAUGUAUAAAAUGAGCGUCAAGAGGCACAAGCAAGAGAUAACACAAAAACAACAUAUCUCUUAGCAACAACCCAACCAAUCAACAAAAUCAUUUAAAGACAAAACCUAUAUCUAUAUACCUGUUCACCCACAAAAAUUAAUAUCUAAGAAAAGAACUUUUCAUGGCUUGAUCAGAUUGCUCCUCAUGGUCAAAAGACCUUUUAUUCCUUUCUUUACAUAUGGUCUAAAAGAUGCACACUGGAGCUACUCUCCAAACCUUCUUGCGUCUUUUACCCACAAAGGAUCCAUGCCACCCUAACUAAGUCCCUUUAACCAUCACAACUUACACCCAAUGAACACCAAAAAGAGUAAAAAACAAAGCAAUUGACAAAGGACACUUGUCCUAGAACAAUGGAGAGGGAUGUGAUCAAUGGAUUCUUCCUCGACUUUACUAAAAAAAUAUCCAUUGACCAAAGGCCAUCCUCUUCUCUUAAGCUGCUCUAAGGUUAACAACUCCCCCCUAACUAACCUCCCAAGUGAAAAUUUCACUUUAGAAAACACCCUUGUUUGGCUCCUAAAACCCCUUGGGUGCCUCCUCUAUAUACACUACUAGGAAAAUUCCAGAGUACUUCCUUCGGUACUGUACCGAAAUGUUUUGAAGCCAUUGGAUGUACAAGAUUACAUCUUGGCCAUCCAUUUGAAAAAAAAUUUCCACUUAACCGGUUAAGAGAAGAACCGGUUGUGGCCUUCCACUCUCUUCUCCUUUAAUUUCUUCUUCCUCCGUUCUCAAUAAUUUUGGGUUUAAAUAAAAUAAAGAUGAGAUAAAAAGAAAAUUGGAAAAAAAAAUUGAUAUAAAAUUUGAAAGCAUAUUUAUUAACAAAAAAAAUUCAUCAUAUAUCAUAACUAUAUUAUUUUAUUUUUAACAAAUUAUUAAACAUUUAAAUUUGACAUAAAAACAAAUAUGAUAAUAUUUUAAUAUGAAAUGAGUAUUUGCAUUAUAAUUCAAUAUUUUGAUAAUCAUGUGUAAAGCUUAAGUAAUUAGACCAUCCUAAUUUUUUUUUACUCUCCAAAUUUUACAUGUUUUGAAUUUAAUGUUUUUAAAUUAAAAUUACAAUAAAAUAAAUUACUAAUACUCUUUUGAGUAACUGAUGAUAGUAUUUUCAAAAAUAAAUUUAUAAUUUCAAAAAAAAUUUAAAACUAAAAAUCGAUAUGAAAAAUGGAAUGAUCUUGACUCUUUGGAUUAAGUUUUGAUAGUCUCAUUUGAAAACCAAUUGACAUUUAAUGAGGGUAGAUUAAGCUUUUUAUGACAUUUAACCACUAUCAUCCAAGUGACCCAUCCUAGGCUUAAUAUCAACAUUAUUAUAUCCUAACGGUAUAAUGACAUUAAAGAAAAAGCCAUCAAAUGUUGAAUAUUAAUUAACCAUUCGUGCUCAGUAUACACCCCUGUUGCUUAUUCAUAAUAAUUUCUAACUCGCUAUUAACAAUAGAAGAAAAAACUAACAUCUAUGGAUUAAAAUUAAGGAUUAAUUUAUUUUUUUUUAAACAAAAUAAUUCAGGAUAAGUUUAAGUCUAUUUUAAAUAAUUUUAUCUAAAUAUUCUUAAGCUAACUUUUGAAUGUUGUUAUUAAGUGACUAGAUUCAAGGAUUGAAAUAUAUGUGAGAAAGGAAAAAGGAUGCUUUAUCCCUCGUCCAAGCCGUGCUUCUGAGCUUCGUGGACACACUUAGUCAAUUCAACUUAAUGCACAUAAGCCUCCAUUGUCAAGCACGUCCAAAGCCUAGCCCACCAAAUGGCGUCUAAGAAUUCAUCACAUUCUGAUGAGUUUUGAGUUCUCAAAUGGACAGUUUGGAUGGUAUACCCCUUUGAGAAAAGGCCCAAAAUAACCUUAGACACCCGAUUGUCAUCAUACCAUGACAUUGUUUACACUAUACAGAAAGUACUGGUACUUCAAGCUCAUGCCAGUUCAAACCACAAGCAGGGUCCAUUAGUUCCUGGGCCUUUAGCAUUUUCCUGGUUCUUCAGAGCAAAUGCAUCCUUUGCAAGCCUUUUUAACACAAAUGGGCAAUCUAUAACUUACAACCAAGCACAGGACAUAAUAAAAAUUACCUACAUUGAAAUAGGAAGGAUCAAAUCCCAUGGAACCAUUGAAAAACCAAAGGAACUUUCUCACGUUCAGUAAACAAACUAGAAAAUAGUACUCUAUGUGACACAUGACUUCCCAUGUACACCAUGUACAAUAAACAGAUAAAAAAAUUAAUGUGUCAUGCGCACACAAAAAAGAACAAACAGUCUGCUUAUACAGUCCUAGAAACAUCUUCAUCUCCAACAUGCCAUUGGUUAAACCUUUUGAGAAGAAACUCUAAACAAAGCCCUGAAAGGAGACAACUUUACCACCAACCUCAGAAUUUUCGCGCCUGCAAACAAUAUUUGAAUUUAAGAAAUGUGAGUUUAGGAAUAAAAUAGUUUCCACACCCUUCUCGACAACUCGCAAGUGACCCAUAUUAUAAAUCCAAUCCAACAAGAUCAUGCAAACAAGAAGGAGACUAAUUAUUAAAACACAAAGAUGACAGAUUGCCAUUAAUUGACAACUAACCAUGAACCCAUGGCUGGCCAUAUCAACAGAGACAAUUCUUUUAGGUAUGAUUUCCAUUUCAUUUUUUAUCAAAAUCAUCAAGACAACUUUUACUUGAAAUCAUUAUAAUUCCUUUCAGAAGGGUCAAUCAUGGAAGGCUGGAAUAGGAUUUUUUCAUGAUUAUACCAGAUUAUCAGUGAAAUACUUUACAUAUUAUUCCACUGCUAUUUGUUGAUAUCUGCAUCCAAGAUUCAUUACUAAACAUUGGUUUUAUAAUACAUUUUAGAGCACAUUUUUCACAUCCAGGGCUUUGGAAAGUCUGGCAGAAGCAGGAAUGUUCAGAGUGUAAUUACAAUUAUUCUUCUUUGGGUGAUUUGGCUAGAGAGAAAUGCCAUUUUUUUAUAAUUAUUAUUAUUUUUUAAAUAUUUUGAUAAACAGAUCCAAACAAAAUCAUUAUGGCACUCAGGUGUACUUUCUCUGUCCACUAUCUCUUUCACUUCCGACUUUUCAGGUACCCUGGUUGGCAUGGUCAAGUUAGUUUAAAGUUCCAUCUGCUACAGCAGUAGGGAGAUUGAGGAUGAUCAUAGCUGAGCACAAAACUUUCUUCCGUAAUUCUUAAGUUUAAUUUUGAUGGUUGCUCUUAGGAAACCCAGGAUAAGUGGGUAUUGGUGGAGUUUUCUGAGAGGAGAAGUGGAUAGGGCUUUCUCAAAUGUAUUGGGGCGUGGUUGGCUAAUGAGGCAGAGCCACUAAAUUGCUUAGAAGUCUGACAUUUGCUUCUUUGGGUUCUACAAUUUAGUGCAAGGUGAUUCAACCAUGGUUAUCUCUUGGGUUUCUCAGAAAAAGCAAGAUCCUUAGGAAUGCUACACCUAGUAGCACAAAUUUUCAAUUUAUCUACAAAGUUGUGCUAUCCAUUUAGAUGGAUCCCUUGCCUAGACAACUAAACUGUAAACAGGCUAACUAAUCAAGGUGCUUCCUUGUGAGAUGCCUUUGUUGGGGAGUUUCCCUAAACUUCGUACUUUGAUUUUGGUGUUCAACUUUAGUUAUUUUUAGUGUUUUUGUUUCACCCUUGAGUUUUGUAGUUCAGCUGUAUUUUGUUGAUUCAAUUGAAUUAGAUACUCAUACAUUUUCUUUCUCGGAGGAGAACUUAUCAUUUCAUGUUCUCUUUUGAUCAUUAAUCAACAAAUUCUUUUGCUUGCAAUUGAGAAGACAACAAGUAUUAUGAGUUGUCAUUGCUCUUCAAAUGUAGGUAUUUUCUGAUAGGCAAAUAAUAUGAUUUUAUAAACAAAUGCCAAAGUGAUGGCGCACCAUAGUACACAGGAUGUAUAGAAUGAGCGUCAAGAGGCACAAGCAAGAGAUAACACAAAAACAACCUAUCCCUUAGCAACAACCCAACCAAUCAACAAAAUCAUUUGAAGACAGAACGUAUAUCUAUAUACAUCUUCACCCAUAAAAAUAAAUAUCUAAGAAAAGAACUUUUCAAGGCUGGAUCAGAUUGCUCCUCAUGUUCAAAAGACCUUUUAUUCCUUUCUUUCCAUAUGGUCUAAAAGAUGCACACUGAAGCUGCUCUCCAAACCUUCUUGCGUCUUUUACCCACAAAGGAUCCAUGCCACCCUAAGUCCCUUUAACCAUCAUAGCUUACACCCAAUGAACACCAAACUGAGUAAAAAGCAAAGCAAUUGACAAAGGACACUUGUCUUAGCACAAUGGAGAGGGAUGUGAUCAAUGGAUUCUCCCUCGACUUUACUAAAAAAAUAUCCAUUGACCAAAGGCCGCCCUCUUCUCUUAAGCUGCUCUAAGGUCAACAACUCCCCCCUAACUAACCUCCCAAAUGAAAAUUUUACUAUUCUGGACAUACAAUUCUAGAAAGCUAAGCUCAUUAAUUUUAAUUCUAGACAUACAAUUCCUUCUUCUAUGAGCAUUAAUCAUUUUAUGGAAGAACUUAGGGUUUCUAUUCCCCCCUCCAUGAGGUUGCUUAAAAAAGAAUCCACUCAAAUUAUUCCUCCCUAGCUGUCCCCACCUAAUUCUUCUCAUAAGAAAGGACCCCUUCUCUCUCCUUUAAAUCCCAAAGAUCCAUCUCAAUGAAGGUCAUCUUCCUAAGAAUCCUAACUGAAACAUUGUUGAACACCUCUUUUAUUCCAAAUUUUCAAAUCAGAUUUCAUCACCUUCAGUUUCGCAGCCAAGAUGAAGCUAUAAUAAGAUCCUCUAAAAUUGUAUACCAUCCCUCAUCCCUUAAAGGGGUCUUUAAAACCCUCCUCCUUCAGCCACAUUUUGUUCUAAUACCUCCUUGAUCCUCUAAUCUGCCCCAACUCCUUAUCAAAGGCCUCUUUAAAAUCAAAGAGAAUGAGAGCAUCCCCAAACAAAGAUAGCUUCAUACCACCAUUCAAGCUCCAGGUCCUUGCAGCCCACCUCUUCAAAGAGGGCAAUUCUGGAGCUGAAUCAGAAAAAUCCCCUCUUCUCUCCACUAAACAACGCUUCAAAAGCUCCUCCCUAAGCUGCACAUCCUUGACUCCUAGCUGAAACCAAACCGCCUCAUCCAUCACACUGUAAAACUUCAUAGCCAUCUUUGCAGAUGACCACUCUCAGAUAAAACUAGCUUACUGCACCCUUUCAACAUACUCUCAUACACCGGCACUUGCUUUGCACUUUGAAAGGAGAGAGUCACUCCAAGAUCCUGAAGCUUCCUGGCUAAAGUGGACAAGCCCUCCCUUCCUAUAGGAAAAAUCAAUGUAGACCUCUUAGCCUCUACAGAUUUAGCUUAACAUUGAAUCAAUCCUCCUUCCCCGUUAGUUAGAGCGGCUUUCCAGCCCUAAGGACCUCCCACCUUCAAUCUAAACCUUGCAAGUCUUCUUCCCAUCCACUUCCCUAUAACAAGAUUACACACCAUCCAACACACAGGCCAAGCUCACCUCACCAGAUCUAAUCCAGUUAGAAAUACCUCUUCCCCCACAAUUCUACCAUGAAAACAUCCCUUUAUCACCUCAACGACAACUUCAAAAGACUUGAAGUCCACUGCAAACCAUCUCUUCUUUCCUUUCUUCAUUUCUUACAUUUUUCAAUCUCUAGCUCUCUCUUGUAACUCCAUAUUCUUUACACAAUUCUUCAAGAGCCCUUUGUGAAACAUUAUUCGAGACACCAAUCUUACUACUGGCAUCCAUCCUAAUGCCAUAGGACUUCCGUACUGAUAGCAAACUAAAGCCGGAUUUGUUCAAAAGUAGGAAUGAGCUUAUUUAGAAAAUAAAACAAGCAGAUUCAUGUGCUUGCAUAAAUUCAGUUGCAGAAUUAGACUUACCAAGAUUAUGGUUAACGAUUCAAACUAAAUCAUAUCAGGGAGUGAUUCCGAUUUUCGAGCAGUCAAUGUAUAUUCAUUUCAAAAUGUGAGCAUAGGAAAGCAAACAAAACGAUUAUAGUUUUUAGGCGGUCAAUGGGGCAAAAUGAAUAUUACCUUUCAACAUGCGAGCAUAGGAAAGCAAACAAAACAAUUACAAUUUUCAAGCAGUCCAUGUGGCUUUACAUUUCAAAAUGUAAGCAUAGCAAAGCAAACGGAAGAGGCACUUACAUACAGAAGGCACCAGUUAGGCGUGGGAAAUCAUAGCCAAACUCAUCCAAGUUGUAACAACCCUUGUGCAGACAAGUGAUGGAUAUGAAAUCCUUUGGUGUUGGCUCAAGGCAUAUUUUGGGGCCCUUGGUUCGCUUGGCUCGCUUGGCUCGCUUGGUAGGAUGUUGUUCAUUGGACGGCAGUUUGGAAACUUGAAAAAUGAAUAUGUAAACAAGGAACUGGUGGUUAGGGUGGCAUUGACCGGGGAAGAUGGCGCACAUCUUCUCUUUGCCCAGGUUGAGAACUAAUCCAUCUCUAAUCGUCCAUUGAGAUUUAGCAAUUUUGGAAAGAUCGUCAUCCACCUCCUUGAAUUUCUGAUACAAGACAGGUGCAUCCUCACCAGACUCAGGAGGAGGAAAAAGGAAUGCCUCCAUAUGGUGGGGAGGAUGCAAAUCGAAUGCCUCCAUAUUGCGGCAAUAAGCAGAGACUAGAACAUCCUCGCAUCCCGACACAAACUGUCCGUGACAAAGAUUCCGUCCCAGACCAUGUCUAUGUAUAAUUGACAACAACCUGGACCUGUGGUGGGGCAUAAACCGCCAUGUCCCAUUAGUGACAUUGUAAUAGUGGCAUUCACGACCAGCCUCGAAACACAGAUAAUUCCCUACACGUGCACAGCCCGUUACACUGCAUUCAGGAAAUUCGUGGAAGGGAGAAGUCUGAAGCAUCGUAUUUGGUUCAUAAUAACGGCCAGGGCAAUAGCUCUCGAAACUUGGGGACGCACAUGGUCUUACCUUCGCGUAAUAAGAAUAAUUGCUGGAGAUGACAUAUAUCCGCCCCUCAAUCUUUAUCAACCUGGGCAUAAGCUUCGCCGCUUCAAACUCGUGAACGUGGGUGAAGUUCACGGUAGGACCAGAGAGAUCGGCCACAUACAAGCUCGAUGAAAUCCCCUUGUCGCCCUUUGACUUGUCCAGCCUCCUAUAGGCUUUCCAAAUCGGAUGUUCCUGAGCCCAUUCUCCUCCCACCAUAUACAGUUUUGAUCCAUCUACAAAGAAACCCAUCCCACAUGGCAAAUUUUCCUCGUCAAAAUCAAUCACUUCAUCCACCGGUAAUCGAGUCAUAUCGGGAGGAGCUGUUUGAAAUCCACCGCUCAGCAACUUCUUCAUGUUAAUCACUAGGAUGCGGUGGUAAGUAUACAAGUAUAGAAAUUCUUCUCCUUCCAUUCUUUGCCUGUUUCUACUCACGACCUUUCUAGGGCUUUGCCUUUGGCUUCGGCUUCAAGAUCGUUUGGGAGAUGACCUGUGUUUGGCGUCUAAAACCCCUUGGGUGCCUCCUCUGUAUAUACUACUAGGAAAAAACCCCUUGGCGGGAUAAGGCAAGUGUUUUGAUCAAGCCCGUAUCAAGUUCCUUCCGGAUUAGAGAAACCCUGCUUUACUUCAUUUUGCCUGCCAGUGCUCAGCAUAACAAUAACAUAUUUUCCCGCCUUAUAAUUAUAUAAAAGAAUAUAUAUAAUUAUUCUUUUGACUUAUCUGGCUGGUCUUAUUCAGAGCUAGCAAUAACUAGUCUUUCCUCUCCUUUCAAAUAUCAUUCUUUUCCUUUCGUCCCUUCUAUGUCGGGCUAGUAAUACGGAGAGCGCUAGUAUUAAUAUUAAGGUUUAAGAUUGAGGGCAGGGCAUCGCUUCUAGUCCAUCUGCCAGAGAGCGAGGGUGUAAGGCUAAGUAAGGGUAUUUCGUGUGCUCAGCACGUGUCUUCCGUUUAUUACAACUAAGGAUUGAAACUUAAUGCUUAUCACUCACUUAAUAACUUAAAUUCACUUUGCAUUAAAUUAUAAUUUAAUUAUUAAUUUAAAAAUUAUUAUUUAAUUAUUCUUUUAAGUAUUAAGAUUGAUCAAUAAAAUUAAUUUAAAAUUUAUUUUAAAUUAUUAAAUUAACAUAAACAUUAUUAUAAAUUAUAACUUGAUAAAAAAAGUACGAAUAACAAAAAAAGAUUAUUUUUUGUAAAAAAAUAAAAUUAUUAAAUAAUAAAAAAGUAAAAUAAGACGUGAACUUAAAAAUAAGUAAAUUGUUUUUACUUAUUAUUUAAAUUAUUUUUUAUUUUAAUUUAUAUUAUUAAAAUAAUUUAUCAAAUAUAUUUAAUUUACUUAAUCACUUAAAUCAAGUUAUUAAAUAAUUUAAGUUAUUAAUUUGCGCUUAAGCUGUCUUUAUUUAUUUAUUUCCCAAUUUUCGUAAAUUUCACAAUAUCAAUCUUUUUCUUUUUAGAUUCUGCGUCUGUAGAUGACUUGAAGCAACCCAUCAUUUUCUAUACCACCCGUAUAAGAAAACCAAAAUUGGUAAUGCUACUGAGUCAACUGUUAGCGAUUUGAUUGUUUGACUCCCUCCAAAAUUCUCCAAAAAAAAACACAUAAAAAAUCAUUCUAGUGGGAGAGAAUGAAAAUUGUUAACCUAAUUCAACAAAAAUGGAUUUUGAAAUGCGAAGAUGUUGACAAUUAUGAAACUGACUGGCUAGAAAAACCCAUUAACGACAAGGAACCACUGCACAGAAAGAAGAACAUUGGGGACUGUUCCUUAAUCAUAUGUUUUUUUUAAUCGUUUUCUGAGGAACAAUUCUCAGUGUUUGAAUAUAUACUUUCUUAUAUUGCUUUCUGCUUGAGAAGUCUGCAUAGUUGAAGUUUUCUUUGCAAGAUUGGGUACUGGAAAUCUCUCACUAUUUGGUGUUAGUUUUACAAUCUUGCUUGCUGUUUGGUUCUUGAUUUGUAGUAUUAUUUCAAAUAAUAACGAUUUGCUAUGGUGGGUGCUUGAAAUUUUCCAUUUUUUGCUGGUAGUUUCUGCUUUGUCUAUGUCUACAGUUCUGGUUCUGAGAAAAUUUCUGCUUGACUGCAAUUUUAUUGGUCAUCCCAUUAUCUUUGUUGGUGUUGUUGUGGUGAUUUCUUUGAAAAAAUAUGCAUUUUAGUAGUAUUUGCAAAGAUGGGUAGACGAAAUUUCUCACUUGUUUAUUUAUUUAUUUUCUGUUUAUGAUUUUUAUUCCUGAUUUUGAGAAACAUUUAUAUGCUUGACAAUAUGACCAAAUACCCUCUGUAUUUUCUUAGUUUUGUGGUGAUUGCCUUCGAGAAAUGCAGUGGAGUGUUUCAUAACUCAAGCACAAGAAAUUUAUUUGUUUCCAAAUAAUUAUGGUGUUUGAUUCUUAGCUUUGCUGCUGAUUCUGCAAGGGGUUUUUUUAUUUUUUUUAUUCUGUCAUAUGGAAAUUUGGUUUUGUUUGUAAUAUUUUUUGAAAUCCAUUUGUCUGAUAGCUAUUGUUGGUAAUUCAAUUCGUUCGUAUCAAUCUUUUGAUUGUUUUGAAGAUUUGAUUUCUUGAAUUGUUUGUGAAGUUGGGUGUUUGAAGUUUUAGCUGUGCUUUCUUCAAAAUCAGACUUUCCAUACAGAUUAAUCAUCAUACCAAGAAAAUUUCAGCUCUUGGAGGAAGUAUGAAAUUGUUUUCAAAGUAUGAACCUGGUUUCGUCUGACUGCAUUUGUAAUGAAUAUAUUCCCUAAUAUAUCAAGGACCAUGUAUAAAAUAAGCCGGCCUCAUUCAAUUUUAAUUCAUCAUCUUUUUUCUUAUGGUGUUAUUGAGAAUGGUGGAUUACAGAAAACAAAAUGAAAUGAUCUCAUUUCCAGGGGAUUGGGGAUGUCCAGAUUUCAUGAGAAAGUCAAUUUUUUCUUUUGCCUUUUUUUCCCUGAUGUGUGUCCACUUCUUGAUCAUUUUGUAGUAAUUUGAAAAGGCAAGAUGGAAGAGAAGUGUGCAAUUGCAAAAGAUGUUACUGAAGUAAGUUGUCGUUAUUCAAAAGUUGCCAUCAUUUUCAUGUUUCCUUUAUUCUCAAGUGUAACUUCCUUGCUUUUGCAAUGCACAGCUAAUAGGGAAUACCCCAAUGGUAUAUCUAAACAAUGUAGUGGACGGUUGUGUAGCCCAUAUUGCUGCUAAGCUAGAGAUGAUGGAACCCUGCUCAAGUGUUAAAGACAGGUCUUCAUUUUCGUUCCCUGGACUUCAUUUUCUUGGAUUAGUAUUUCUUACUUGAUGUGUUGCAAUCAUGAAAAUACUGUGUUUGUUUUGAGUUUUUUUUUUUUUUUUUCUUUAAUCUUCAAUUUCACAUCACGUUUCAAAUCUUUGGCAUGCAGGAUUGGGUAUAGCAUGAUCAAUGAUGCAGAAGAGAAGGGCCUGAUUACGCCUGGGAAGGUUAGUAAUUGAAUUAAUCCUUGUAUCUGGACAUGUUUUGAUAUUCUUUUUAGGUACUGUUAUAUGCCUUAUAUGACUCCAUCAGCUUCAAAAUUUACAUUUUCUCAACAACUAGGACCAUUUGAACCAUCAAAUCACAUGCCAUCAUUUUUGGAGAUCCUCAUAACACCUGUGCCAAAAAAGGAAUGACUCCUUGUUUUGGUGCAUUCCUCGGUCUUCUUUGCAUAUGACUUAGGUUAUAUGACUUUCCCAUCAUCAGUUGGCAAUAAAUUCAUAGGUGAUGAUUAUUACUUCUAGGUUCAAACAGGGCUAUAGCAUUCAUGGAUUUAGUGUACAGAUUAAAUGUUCAAAUCAGGGUAUUGUCCCCCGAGAGAAACCACUUUUCCUUUUUGUCUCUUGGACGGUUUUCAUUCCUAUAGUCCAAAUUACAGAGCAUUUUUUAUCAGUAUUUCUCUUGGUUAUGAAAUGUCUAGAUGUUGGUUCAUGCAGACUGUCCUUAUCGAGCCUACCAGUGGCAAUACUGGCAUUGGAUUGGCAUUCAUUGCAGCAGCUAAGGGUUACAAACUUAUCCUUGUCAUGCCAAGUGUAGUGACUCUUGAGAGAAAAAUGGUUGUCCUAGCUUUUGGAGCAGAGCUGUAUCUGACAGAUAUAGCCAAAGGCAUUCAGGGGGUUUUUGAUAAAGCUGAGGAGAUACUGCAAAACACACCCAAUGGUUAUAUUCUUAACCAAUUUGAAAAUCCUGCCAAUCCAAAGGUAUAUUCUGGACCAAUAUCAGUUAAUGCAGAUGAAUGGUCAGAAAGACUUUCUGAUCAGUUUAUCGUUGUUUGUGUAGAUUCAUUAUGAGACCACAGGACCAGAGAUUUGGAAAGGCACAGGGGGAAAAGUUGAUAUCCUGGUUGCAGGGAUAGGGACUGGGGGUACAGUUACCGGUGCAGGGCACUUCCUCAAGGAGAAAAACCCUGAGAUUAAGGUUAGCAUGUCUGCGUGUGUGAGAGUGGAGACUGGGAGGAGCAAAUGUUUUUUGGUUUUAACAUUUUUGGAUGGUUUUCUUUUGUUCACAUUUAGGUUUAUGGUAUAGAACCAGCUGAAAGUGCAGUUCUAAAUGGAGGAAACCCUGGUCAGUUACAACGUCUGAAUUCUGAUACAUCUUAUUCACUUUGUCCUGACUUGGCACCCUUGCAUUCUUGCAUGUUUCUGGAUAUCUUUUUUUAAUUUUAAUUUAAUUUUAUCUAAAAUUUUUGGAUGGAUGUUGAAUUCAAUAUAAAGUUUCCAAGUCUCCAGCUUCUGGAUAAGGUCAUCCCUUAGUGGCACCAAGUACAAUCUAAUUAUUUAUUAAUAACCAAUUAAGAAUAAGUUAGCAUGAAAAAUAACUUUUUAAGACACUUGUUCCAAAGAAAAAAGAAAACCUAAACUGAAUUUACUUGAGUGAAUAUGUUGUUAUGAUGAUGUUUUACUUGAAGGUGUCAAAUGAUUUCACAAAGCUGAUGUCACUAGUAAAUUACAAGGAGAGUUUGAAAAAGUUCCAAGUUUUGCUUCAUGUUUAAAUGUUGUCAUGGCUAGAAUGCUUAUUGUUGAGGCCCAUUGAUGAUAUCAACAACAAACACGAACUUGAUUUUUACACGUUCUUGUGUAUGAAUAGUUGGGGCUGGAAAAUGAACAAUGAAGUCCGCUUGAGCUUUAUCUCUUUAAUUAGUUUGUUUACUAAGUUAAAUGAGCCAAGCUUGCAAUUAGGUGAAGUAACAUGGUGCUUGGUUUAAUUAGCUACCCCCAUCCCACCAAAAGAAAAAAAAAAGCGUUCAAGACUAUAUUAAUAUAAAUGUGGUUCAAAAUGACUAGAAUUGAGUAAUUUUAUGGUAUAUUUUGAUAGCUAUUGAACAGUUCAUUUUCUAUUUAUUUACCUUCGAAAAGACAUGAAUUUAGUUUUUUUCUUUUCUUUUUUCCUUUUUAUGAGGGUGGGGGGCAGUAAGGGAAGGGUGGUGUUGGGGGUUGGGAAGAACCUGAGUCUAGGAUCUUCAAUUCGAAUGCAUUAGUGGUACUAAGGAUGCUCACUUGGCUCACAAAUAGCCUUGAGGUUGGGUCCAACUCAAGCUCAAUCCGGACAUUGAACAAUGAGCAAUCCUUUCUUGGAUUUGGCUCAUUAUAAAUCCCCAUCCCAACCUCUCCACUAAAAGAAGGAAAAAGAAAAAGAAGAAAGAAAGAAAAGAAAAGAAAAGAAAAGAACCACCACCUUAAUAGAUGAUGCAUCUGCUGAGACAUGCUUUUGAGUGAUCCUUCUUUGAGGUUCUCUAUUUUGAUGAUUUUUUUUCUACCCUUUUGUCCUACCUGAUUAGCAAAAUUACCCUCAUAAAACUUCCUUUGGAUUGAUUUCUUAAUUUGCUUGAUCUUUCUUUCUCUUUGUAUAAUAUAACAUUUUUAUUAGAGAGACUGAGAGAAAAAAAGAAAAUUUUAAAUUUCCUUCUUUGAAUGCUACCGUUACUUUUUUACUGCAGCUCAGCAGUGAAAAUCAUGAUUCUGAAUUUAGUUUCAUGUUAGCCUUCUAGA
rnacentral:lncRNA from 1 species